AACUUUGUCCAAUAUCCACCGCAUAGACAGUACGAGGCUCGAGC
rnacentral:snRNA from 1 species